rnacentral:rRNA from 1 species
UACGGAGGAGGCAAGCGUUAUCCGGAAUUAUUGGGCGUAAAGGGCGCGUAGGUGGCGGGACAAGCGUGCGGUGAAAGCCUGGGGCUCAACCCCGGGUCGGCCGUGCGAACUGUUUUGCUUGAGCACUGUAGAGGCAGGCGGAAUUCCGGGUGUAGCGGUGGAAUGCGUAGAGAUCCGGAAGAACACCGGUGGCGAAGGCGGCCUGCUGGGCAGUAGCUGACACUGAGGCGCGACAGCGUGGGGAGCAAACAGG